UACGUAGGGGGCAAGCGUUGUCCGGAUUUAUUGGGCGUAAAGAGCGUGUAGGCGGCCAGGUAGGUCUGCUGUGAAAACUCGAGGCUUAACCUCGAGAUGUCGGCGGAAACCAUCUGGCUAGAGUCCGGAAGAGGAGAAUGGAAUUCCCGGUGUGAGCGGUGAAAUGCGCAGAUAUCAGGAGGAACACCGGUGGCGAAGGCGGGUCUCUGGGCCGUAACUGACGCUGAGGAGCGAAAGCAUGGGGAGCGAACGG
rnacentral:rRNA from 1 species